CAAAGUUCUGGGAUUACAGGUGUCAGCUACCGCACCCGGCAUUUAAAAAUUUAAUAUGUACUUUUUGCAACCUAGAACUCAUUGUUCAGUAUGAGUUUUGAGACAUAUAAGAAGGGAUAUU
ensembl:snoRNA